rnacentral:tRNA from 1 species
GGGGUGUAGCUCAAUCAGUAGAGCACUUGUCUGAUAAGUAUGAAGCCUUGAGUUCAAACUCAGUACCAUCA